rnacentral:rRNA from 1 species
GACGAACGCUGGCGGCGUGCUUAACACAUGCAAGUCGAACGGAAAGGCCCUGCUUUUGUGGGGUGCUCGAGUGGCGAACGGGUGAGUAACACGUGAGUAACCUGCCCUUGACUUUGGGAUAACUUCAGGAAACUGGGGCUAAUACCGGAUAGGAGCUCCUGCUGCAUGGUGGGGGUUGGAAAGUUUCGGCGGUUGGGGAUGGACUCGCGGCUUAUCAGCUUGUUGGUGGGGUAGUGGCUUACCAAGGCUUUGACGGGUAGCCGGCCUGAGAGGGUGACCGGCCACAUUGGGACUGAGAUACGGCCCAGACUCCUACGGGAGGCAGCAGUGGGGAAUAUUGCACAAUGGGCGGAAGCCUGAUGAAGCAACGCCGCGUGCGGGAUGACGGCCUUCGGGUUGUAAACCGCUUUCGCCUGUGACGAAGCGUGGGUGACGGUAAUGGGUAAAGAAGCACCGGCUAACUACGUG